rnacentral:rRNA from 1 species
UGGGGAAUAUUGGGCAAUGGGCGCAAGCCUGACCCAGCAACGCCGCGUGAGGGAAGAAGGCCUUCGGGUUGUAAACCUCUGUCCUUGGUGACGAAACAAAUGACGGUAGCCAAGGAGGAAGCCCCGGCUACCUACGUGCCAGCAGCCGCGGUAAUACGUAGGGGGCGAGCGUUGUCCGGAAUUACUGGGCGUAAAGGGUGCGUAGGUGGCCUUUUAAGUUGGAGGUGAAAUACCCGGGCUUAACUUGGGGGGUGCAGCUAAUACUGGGAGGCUAGAGUGCAGGAGAGGGAAGCGGAAUUCCUAGUGUAGCGGUGAAAUGCGUAGAUAUUAGGAGGAACACCAGUGGCGAAGGCGGCUUUCUGGACUGUAACUGACACUGAGGCACGAAAGCGUGGGGAGCAAACA